UACAGAGGUCCCAAGCGUUGUUCGGAUUCAUUGGGCGUAAAGGGUGCGUAGGUGGCGCCGUAAGUCGGGUGUGAAAUUUCGGAGCUUAACUCCGAAACUGCAUUCGAUACUGCGGUGCUUGAGGACUGGAGAGGAGACUGGAAUUCAUGGUGUAGCAGUGAAAUGCGUAGAGAUCAUGAGGAAGACCAGUGGCGAAGGCGGGUCGUCUGGACAGUUCCUGACACUGAGGCACGAAGGCCAGGGGAGCAAACGGG
rnacentral:rRNA from 1 species